rnacentral:rRNA from 1 species
UGGGGAAUCUUGCGCAAUGGGCGAAAGCCUGACGACGCAACGCCGCGUGGGGGAUGAAGGUCUUCGGAUUGUAAACCCCUGUUGGGUGGGACGAACACUUCCGUGGUGAAUAGCCAUGGAGACUGACGGUACCACCUGAGGAAGGCCCGGCUAACUACGUGCCAGCAGCCGCGGUAAUACGUAGGGGCCGAGCGUUGUCCGGAGUUACUGGGCGUAAAGCGCGCGCAGGCGGCUCGUCAAGCCUGACGUGAAAGCCCCCGGCUCAACCGGGGAGGGUCGUCGGGGACUGGCGAGCUUGAGGUCGGCAGGGGCUGGUGGAAUUCCCGGUGUAGUGGUGAAAUGCGUAGAGAUCGGGAGGAACACCCGUGGCGAAGGCGGCCAGCUGGGCCGGACCUGACGCUGAGGCGCGAAGGCGUGGGGAGCGAA